rnacentral:rRNA from 1 species
ACGCAAUAGAUACCCAGGUAGUCCACGCCGUAAACGAUGGGCACUAGAUGCUUGGGGGAGCGACCCCCUGAGUGUCGGCGCUAACGCAUUAAGUGCCCCGCCUGGGGAGUACGGCCGCAAGGCUGAAACUCAAAGGAAUUGACGGGGGCCCGCACAAGCGGUGGAGCAUGUGGUUUAAUUCGACGCAACGCGAAGAACCUUACCUGGGCUUGACAUGGCUGGGAAACCUUCUGGAAACAGGAGGCCUCCUUCGGGACUCAGUCACAGGUGCUGCAUGGCUGUCGUCAGCUCGUGUCGUGAGAUGUUGGGUUAAGUCCCGCAACGAGCGCAACCCUCGCCCCUAGUUACCAGCGGGUCAUGCCGGGGACUCUAGGGGGACUGCCGGUGCCAAACCGGAGGAAGGUGAGGACGACGUCAAGUCAUCAUGGUCCUUACGCCCAGGGCCACACACGUGCUACAGUGGCGGGGACAGAAGGCUGCGAGCCGGCAACGGUGAGCCAAUCCCCAAACCCGCCUCAGUUCGGAUUGUCCUCUGCAACUCGA